GGGGGCAUAGCUCAGCUGGGAGAGCGCUUGAAUGGCAUUCAAGAGGUCGGGAGUUCGAGCCUCCUUGUCUCCACCA
rnacentral:tRNA from 2 species